UCCAACCACCGCAUGGGCAUCGACAGGU
rnacentral:sRNA from 1 species